rnacentral:ncRNA from 1 species
ACUCUUGGGGUGCCUGUAGCGGGCUGAGAAAAACCCAUUGAACCUGACCCAGGUUAUGCUGGCGGAGGAAAGAG